rnacentral:lncRNA from 1 species
CAAGUUUGAUAUCCUGAAUAUACAUUGCACAAAAGAGAGUAGGUAUCGGUCAGUCUAGUAGUUGAAAUUUGCAGCAAGUUAAACAUAUUUGGGAAGCAUCUUGAAAGUUAGAGUUCCAUUAUGAGAUAGUUGAAAACUAGUGGAGUUAGAGAUGACAAUUUUGAAGGCUUGUUCAUUAUUUUUGUGUUCCUACAUGAAGUGAAAAAUAACAUCAAGUGAUGUAAUGAUUGUAUUCUGAAAAAUUCUGUUAUCCAUUUAUUUAUAUUCUAGUCUAGACUGUAUCUUUCACCAUGAAACAUUUCCAAAGGUGAAGCUGAAGAAACACUGGAACAGAUGAAAAUAGCAAAAGAGCAUCCUAAAAGGCUUUAGGUAUUCAUUCUUCUAUCUCAGGAACAGAUUGAAAAGUUAAUUCUGCUGUGGCAAGGAAUUUAAACCAUGGGAUUUCAGACCUGAGAUGUUGUUUGAUAUGAUUUGAUAUGUUUCUCAACUGCUUACAGAAGAUUGAGGUAUUACUAAUAAUCUAUCUUGAUGAUUAAAAGCACAGUAUUUGAGAAACAUUGUCUAUUUGCAGUAAUACAGUUGUAUUUGGGUAAGUGUGUGGGCUCGGCUGUCCAUUAGCAGCAGAUAGGUCCAGGUAUUCCCCAGGACAGAGGUAUCCCGUAGAGCCUGUACCUGUAGGUGUUCACCACUCAGCAGGAGUCUGUUUGGAGAACCAGUGGCUGUUUGGCUGCUGAAGAAGGAUUGCAUAUUUCUAAAUGCACUGGGAACCAGCUGUUUUCAUCCCUUUGGGGCAGAAAACAAUUACUACAUUCAAGUGAAAUCGGAGACCAUAGAAAUGUAUUUGGCACAUGUUACAAAGCAGGUUAUAGUGGGUUCACUUCCACUCGUCGUAAAAAGAUUUGUGUUUAAUUUUCAUAGCAACAUUUUGUGUAAGGCUAUAUAAAUAAAUCAUGUGUUUAAACAUGAAAGUAUGCUUAGUAGUGCAUGCUCUCUUCAGAUCAGGCUUCUAAAACUUAAUCUGCUAAAAUUAAAAUGGAAUUAUAUAUGUAUGUUCAAUGGAACAGUUCAUUUCCACUUGUGUUUUAAUCCUGCAAGUUACUCAACCUGGGUAAGACAUUGCUGGAAUUACCUGUUGCUCCUCCACAUUUUUCAUAUUAAUUUCUUAAGAUAUUUAUAUGUUUUAACUUCUUGUUCUGCCAAACCAGAAGACAUAAAGUUGAAUGAGCCCAAAUAAUCUCAAAACGUAGGAAUUGUUAUUGCCUUUUUCUUUCAUAGUUGUUAAUUACUUUUGUUAAUUUGAUUAAUGUGUUGGAAUUUCAAAAUCUGGAAAAAUUGGAAUUUGUUGGAUUCAACAGGAAAAUUUUAAGUGAGCAGGUCUCCAAAAUGAAGAGUUUUUGGAAAGCUAUGAAGAGUCUAAAAAGAGAAUGUACGGCCUUCAGAUUACACCAAUAUGGUAGUAUUUCACCCUGCAGAUGGGCACUUGUGCCAUUGUCUACUUGUUUAUUUUAAAGUAUCAGUGAGCUUGGAGAUUGUGGCACUGGGAAAUUGAUAAGGCUGAACAGAAGUAGGCAUGCCUACAACUUCGUGUUGAACCAGAAAUUCAUUUUCUUAAGAAAAGUCUUUCUGGAUACUUACUCCUCAUCAUAAGAUUGAAUUAUUUAGCAGUGCCACUUACAGAGAAGCAUUUAGAUGGCUGAUACUGUCUGUAUAGAAAUGUGAGUGAAUAAAAUAUGGAUAAUGUGAAACAAAAUCUCUUGCUAACAUUUACCAAAAUUAACUAAUUAAGAAAUAUAUAUAUAUAUAUUUUUGCCACAGUCUGUUUUGUAAGCUUUUUUUUCCUGAGGGUUAGGAUGCAAUAUCUGUAUGGCUCUGGUAUAAAUAAUUAAUCAAUCGAUUCUACUUAAAGAGUACCGAAGCUUUUUAAAACGUUUAGUGAUAUUUUGCAAUGAUAGUUAAAAUAACUCCUUAAAACUAUAUCCAAUAAUAGCCACUGAAUGAAUUUUUUAUAAAACAGAGUAUUUAUUACUGUUCUUUCCACAUAAGCUUUUAGGUUGUUUUAAUGAUCCUGGUGUUAAUUCAUUGAUAUAAAUAACAGCAAGCUUGGAAAUGGGGUUUUGUUCUGAAAAGUUUAAUUUUCUUUUGAUAUCCGUUCAAAUAAAGCACUACCUAUCCCAUUAUUUCCUAUUUGGCACAGCUGCCUUCUGGCUCAAGCACCUGGUUGUCCUCAGUGCAGGCUCUGGUCCAGUGCUUGGGAUGCUCUGAGCAUCUGCGUUAAAUGGUGGCUGCAGAUAUGUGAGGAGUAUAGAGCUGCUCGCUCCCAGGUGAGUGCCCCAGCCACUGGCCCAGGGCUUGUUUUUGCUCCACCUGGGGUUUCUAGCAGAAAGCAGCCAGACGGGCAGAGGGCACUGUCCUGGUGCUGUGGGAUGUGAUUAAACCCUCUCGAGGUGGUGCUGCUGCUGGAUGUGAGUGUGCCUCAUGCAGGUGUGUGCCCCAGGGCCCAGCAGCAGCUGCAGGUGCCAUAGGUGCCCCUUCUCUGCUAUUGGUCCAAAAACAUGCAUCAUGAGCAGGAUGUAAUCAUUCCAAAUAAUCUACCUUAACAUACUUAAGUUUGUUUGCUGACCAAACUCCAUUCAAAUGACGUUCUUAUCUUCUAUUUCAUGACCAAUUGUUAUUUCUACACUUACACCCUCCCUCAACCACAACAACAAAAUCCUCAGACCAGCCAAUUGUCCGUAUCAUUUCUCUGCACUUCAGAUGCUCAUGUGUGCCCACAAGCAUUGCUGGGUUUGCACAGGUGGGCUCAGCCCCUCUGUGUGUAUGAACUUUGCUGGUGGAUGGGAGCUCAGACCUGCUCUUUUGGAGAGCGAGUGAGUGUAUGCAGUGUAUGCAACGAGCAUGUAUUUUGGGUAAGGUGUUAUUUUUACAAGCAAAUUUUCUGAAACAGAUACAAAUCUUAACGUUGUUAUUAUUAAAGUAAUAAUAAUUAUUUAAGAAAUAGGGAAAAUUGCUGUUCUAUUUGACAUGGUAGGAAACAAAGCCUCUGUGUGUAUGCAUGCUGAUUUUUUAUUUAUUUAUUUAUUUAUUGCAAAUACAUGAUUUAAUCUAGGUAAUUAAAAUUGGAAGAAUGAAUGCAAACCAGAACUGUAUGAACAGUGCAAGUUUAAUUCAUGCAGAAGCCUUGCAAAGUUAUUUGUGCAUUUAGGGUAAAAAUCCUGGCACUGCAACAUCCAAAUCAAGCCAUUCCAUGUCCUUGUAUGGCCGCUAUAAGGUACUUCUGAAUGUUGUCACUCCUUGUAAACUCCCUUAUGAUUCAUGCUAAGUUCCUGCCUGUCCUUUCACAAAUCUACCAAGAUUUUCCUUUUUUUCUUCUCAGCCACUUGGAAGAUUUACAUUGAGUACAUUGAUAACAUUCUGACUGAUGGCUUAUUUAACACCAUAAUGUGUUCUUCGGAUUUCUUUUUGGAGAAUUCAGAAGACAAUUUGAAGCCAGCUCUGCUUUUUCAAACACAAAUGACCCUUACUGGCACAGAAAUUUAUUUUAAACCUUCUCUAGAUAAAGAGGCUGAUGGUGGCUUUUAUGACCUUACAGAUGAACUGCUAGGUAAUAUUUUCUGAAUGUGUGUCCAAGUGAAAAUAGUGGAAGCCCACUUGGAAUCAGAAGAUUAUGAGUUAUAGAUUACGAGUUAUAGUUUCUCUUCUUGUGCCUAGAAAUAAAGAAUCCAAAUAAUUGCAAGCAGCAAGAAGUUUAUUUUUAGUUACAAGCUCAUUUAAUAGCAUCAGCCUUGAAAUUCUGAGCCUCAUCUGUUCUCUCAGUUUCAAAGCUUACAGAAGUGUAGUCCUGUUAAUUUCCAAAGGAUUACUCAUGCUUUCACCCACUUCUGCAUCUGUGAGCAGCAGAAUGAAGUUGUCCAUUUUACGCAAAGCUGAUUAAAAUUAGCUGAAUGCUUCUCUUUCUGUAUCUGUUCCGUGCUGAAAUCUGUAGAUCGGCAUGUAAUGGAAACUUAACCUUAGAAGUAUGGGUAUAAGGGAAUGUUCAGUAGACUGAUGACCAGAAUCAUAUAUAGCACAUUUACUGAUGAAUAACUUAAAGAUAUGUAAAAUUAGAUAAUCUUUAAAUGGCUUAGGUUAGAAGUGAACUUAUAGAUCACCUAAUUCCAACCCCAUGGCAUGGGCAGAGCUUCUAUCCACCAGAUCAGGCUGCCCAGGGCCCCAUCCAACCUGGACUUGAAUGCCUCCAGGCAUGGGGCCUUCAAGAUGUGGAAUGCACAAUCUCCACACAAUAUUAUCCUCAGUGUAAAGAGUUUCUUUAUUAUAUGUAAUCUAAAUCUAAACCCUCUUAGUUUAAAGCCAUUACCCCAUAUAUUCAAUUUGGUUUAGUGCAUUUAUGCAGCAAAUAUAAACCCAAACAAGAGCGAGCUCGGUGAACUGUAAUUUUUCUUGUUAAUAGAUAUCUAGGGAAAAUGUAUGGAAUUCCAGUCUUUCAUUUACACAUCAGUGCAAGUUUAACCAUUUGUUGUUACAGUUUCUCAGUUACUGAAAAUAAUAAAACUUUUUCUUUAAUGUCUAGGUCAAUAUGAACAACGUGUUUGAUCUGUCUGAACUCAGGCAGGAGAGUAACAAGUAUUACCAACAAAGUCUUGGUGUACAGAAGAUCUCAUGAUAGCUAUGCUUAUCUCUGACUAGAGGACCAGCCUGAGUUUAUGAGGCCGUUUCUUCCUUGUGACCGUGGCUCAAUGUCUUCACAGAUAUCUUUUACAGAUAAAGUCUCUUGUUGGCCUCCCACCACUAGACAGUGUAAAGAGCAGGCAUGAAAGCAACUAGUCUUAGUAACUGGCUAUUUAGUAAGAAAAAUUUGGAUAUGUACGUGCAUGUUUUUCUGUCUUCUGCUUUAGAUUGAUAUCUAUGAAAAUCUGUGUUCAGACGAGUAAGUCUGAAGACUCAAGAAUUUUUGAAAGCUGGUUUAGAGUAAUGACUUAGCCUUUCAAAAUAACCUUUCUAAAUAUUAUUAAGAAGUGGAGCUGGAUGUUUAAGGAGUAUGUUUUAAGAUAUGUCAUUUUCAGGUAAAAUGGCGUGUGCUAUGGAAGUAAUAAGAUUGGGUCUUUAUGUAUGUAAUACGUACACAUGUAAUGCGCUGAGCUGUGUUUGCUACUUUUUAGAGUUUUUUAAUUGUUAUUUUUGUUUGCUUUUGUUUCCUAGAUAUUGUUCUCGCAUACCUUGGGUUUAUUCUCAGUAGUACUUGCCAUAUCUGGAAGUUGGACUCAAACUCUCUUGAAAUUAUGUAGUUUUACAACGAGUGCCAAUGGCAGGACCAAUAGAGCUUAGUACAUGUUUAUUCACUACAGUAAGCAGUGUUUGCUGUACUUGUAAUUUUACCUUUCUCUCUUUGAUAGUCUGAUUGACUUCAAAGGCUUUAUAAAAGUGACAGAUGCUGGACUUCAAAGUGAGAGGCAUUAUUAUGUGCUGGCAGAAAUCACUGGCCACCUCUUGGCUCUGAAAGGGAGGCAGACAGCUGUUGGUGAACCCUUUGAGCCUUUAAAAGAAUUGUUGCACUGUUGGUAAACUACAGACAGAAGAUGCCAAACCAAGUUUGCAUCUAGGUAGAGAGCAGCAUUGAUGAUUGGACUAAAACCCAGUGGAGACAGAUUAAUGGGGAACAGAUGGAUAUAGAGAUCAGAUGAUUUGCCAAGGUCAAGUUUUUAGUAGUAGAAGAUACUAUCUUGACAGAUCUUCUGGGACUCCAACUUCAUAACCUAGAAGAAGAAAUCCAUGGUAUAGUUGACAGAGCUGUGCUAGAGUUGGGUACUUGAAAUGUGAGAGAUGUCCAUCUUUUUCCACCUAUUUCCAUAGAAGAGUAUGUACAGAUUGCAGUCUUGAUGAAGUUUUACUUCAGGAAAUUCAUGAUACCAGUGAAUAGUUUCACAUUUUGGCAGGAACCGGUUGAAUGUGGGCUGCCAUGGAAUUUUCUUAUGAAGAGCAUCACAGCUCUUCAUAAAGAGAGAGAGAGCUCUUCAUAAAGCAUAAAGAGCUUCUUUAUUAUUCAGUCAAACAGCUGCUUGGGACUCUAGAUAACAUUCAAGUAAGGACUUGAUAGAAAUAUUAUUAGUAUAUCAUUUUUAUUGACUCCGUUGUUACACUUUACGUUAAAAACUUUUUUCCUGAAUUUUUAUCAGUGACUUUUGUUUUCUUCAGAUGUUAUUCAUGUGAGAUUAUAUGUGCUAUGUAUAUUCUAAGGACAUUCUUAUCUCCAUGUAGGAGUUAAUAAAACUACAGCCUUCUAAUCUUAUGUUUUUCUAGACUUUUUAAAAAUCACUUAAUAUUAUACUGUCCACUUGCAGCAUGUAAUAAUGUCUUACUGUAUACAAUAAUAAGACAAUUUCUUGAAACUAUCUUAGCCCUUGUUCCUUUAUUUGAUGAAUUAUUUUUAUUAAUGUAUUUUUAUUUUACAAUUUAGUUAUAAUCUUCUUUUAUUUACUCUUCAUUAGUUUUUUAAUCUCCUGUAGUUGCACAGUGAUGAUACUUCUGAUUUACAGAAAUCCUUUCUCUGAAGCUCCUUGACAUUUAUGACAGUGAAAUACAAGGUUAUGAUGUAAUUAAUUUCAUUUGUCAAACGUGACUGUGUAUCAGCCUAAAUAUUUUCACUUUUCACAAAAUAUCAGGUCUUAAUUGUUCAUUUCGACCAAAAAGAUCACGAAACCUUGAUGAGUAAAGGAAAUACCUUGUGUUAUCAACAUACCUAUGAGUCAAUCCACAUAUGUCAGGCAAAUUUUUGAGUAUUCACUAUAUGAAUUUCUGAAAAGAUAAGAUAUUUAUCAUAUCAGAAGGACGUUCUAUGUUUAAAACUUUAAGUAAAAUUCUAAUUGUUUGAAUCUGCAAUGUAAACAAUGUGGGCUGCAGCAUAUCUAACUGUACACACAGAUUCUACAUUCUCACCGUUGAGCUAGUUGAGAAUCUUGUCAAGAAUGAUGAAAUUAUUUAUGGCAUUUAACAGGCACAAAUUUCUUCAUGGUGCAUGUUGAGAAAAGCAUUGAUCUUGCACGCAUAAGCAGAAUUGUCAUGCAAGUUAAUGCUUCUCUCGGCAAUCUGUCAUUCUUAUUUUGUUAGAAAAGAUCUAGUAGUAUAAUCAAAGCACUAUUUGUUUUUCUUCACUGGCAGUUGUCCGAGUUCCUUUUCAUUUCCUUCAUGUUCAGUCUAAACAUUGUAAUGCAUAAAUGGUUGUGGAUUUUCUUUUCUCACCACUUAAGAAAUAAAAUCUCAAACAAGCUGAUGAGGUGCCUUCUUCCACCUCUUUUCCCUACAGUUUCUUUUUCCUAGUAUACUAAAAGGUAUGAAAUGGAAACAAAUCUGAGUGUUAUGCCAUGAGUUGCAACUACUUUCCUUGCAACUCUAUUUAGAAGUUAGUGACUAAUACAGUGGUAAAAAAGGUGAUAGAAGCUACCACCAAACCAAAGAGACAAGAAAAAAUUUGAAGAUUUGCUGUGGAGAUAAAGCUUAUGGAGGGUUAUGACUUGUUUGGAAGACUAGCUCAGGAAAGGCCAGGAAAUGAGCUGUUAAGUCAGGUUGCUUUUUGUCUGUAUGUAAACGUAUAUGGUAAUUCUUGUCGUUUGUUGCUAUCUGACAUAUUGGACUUGUACUGCUUUUCAUAUGAACAAUUACAUUUGAAGCAUUGUUUUGUUACUUAUGGAUUGCAUGAUGUAAAACUUUGUCAAAUCCCUUACAAAUUCUUUUGGUUUGGAUUUAAUCCAUUUUUCACCCCACUCACCAACUGGGAGCAGGGAAUCUUUCUUUCCUGCUUACUGCAGGAUAUAGUGGAUUGUACUGCAAAGGUCUUCCUUCAGUACAGUUUAACGUAUGCCUUGAGUUCCUCACUGGCAUUCAUUCUUCCAGCCUGUAGAGCAAUGAUAUUUGAAGUUACACCCCUUCUUCCUUUGAGGAAAAAGUCAUAAGAAAUUUAAAACAAAAACAAAACCUACCACUUGGUUUGUGCAUUAUUCUUUGUUAUGCAUAAACAAUUAUUACCUUUUUCCACUCAGAUAGGCAUGAAAUUGAGAGUUUUGAGUCUUAAUACUUCUAGUGUCAAUAUUAGUAUGUGUUUUCAUUUUGUUAUUCUUCAUACAUGAAAAUGUAUAUAUUUUAGGAGGAGCACUCACUUUGCUCUCCAAUCAGAGUAGUGAUUUGGGGUUUGUUUGUUUGUUUGUUUUCAAAAUUCUGUUAUCUGUAAAUAACCACCCUGUCAAAAAAGAAUUCUUCUUAUCCCUUGAUUUCUAACACUGGACUGUCUGGAAUAUUGGAGGGGAGUUUCCAC